AAGCAAAGAAACGGUUAUAUAAAUAUUUGUAGAAAACCCCCUGAGUAGCCUUCAAACUGCAAAUCAGUCCCUGUUUCUCCUUUGUAUGGGCAAACGCCCACCGCCGGCGAAGAGCUUGGGGAACUACGCGCGCCUCGCCUCCGAGAGGGUCACCGCCGCUAGGCUUUCGAAACCCAGAUCGAGAUCGCUGGAUUCGGCAAGAGAACCGGCCCCGUCGAGAUCCGACGGCAGGGGGACGGCCAUGGAAGGCCAGGAGCGUCUUCCUCUGUCGAUGGUGGUGGCGGAGUGCGUGAAGAGGUGGUUUCAGGAUACUCUCAAGGAGGCUCGGAACGGAGACGCCGCUAUGCAGGUCCUCGUUGGCCAGAUGUAUCAGAGUGGCUAUGGCGUGCCGCGGAACGAGCAGAAGGCAAAGACCUGGAUGACAAAAGCUUCAAAAUAUCGAUCCUCAGUCUGGAGAGUCAGCCAUAAACGUCCAGCUUUCUCCAGGCUAUAAUGCUAGUGAUUCAGAUUCUGUUGAAGAGACAGACGAUCCAAAGCCGUGAUAUGAUGUUAAAUCUUAAUACAAGGAAAAAGAUGGCUUCUUUGAUCAGUAACAUCAGGUCGCUGCUCUUGGGCUGUUCUCUUUCUUUAAUUGCUGUUGUGUCGUAUUUUAUUCGCACUGUUUAUUUAUCUUAGCCAUGAAGUUAUUGAAGCUUGUAUUAUACAAUGAACAGCAUUACAGUUUUGGUAGGGGAUAUCUUAGCAAAAUGUAAUCACUUGUCAUUUGUGCUUGGAAACAUUAACUUUUACUAGUUUUCAACUUUGGUUUUAACACUA